rnacentral:rRNA from 1 species
AUUGAACGCUGGCGGCAGGCUUAACACAUGCGAGUCGAGCGGGGGAAGGUAGCUUGCUACCGGACCUAGCGGCGGACGGGUGAGUAAUGCUUAGGAAUCUGCCUAUUAGUGGGGGACAACAUCUCGAAAGGGAUGCUAAUACCGCGUACGUCCUACGGGAGAAAGCAGGGGAUCUUCGGACCUUGCGCUAAUAGAUGAGCCUAAGUCGGAUUAGCUAGUUGGUGGGGUAAAGGCCUACCAAGGCGACGAGCUGUAGCGGGUCUGAGAGGAUGAUCCGCCACACUGGGACUGAGACACGGCCCAGACUCCUACGGGAGGCAGCAGUGGGGAAUAUUGGACAAUGGGGGGAACCCUGAUCCAGCCAUGCCGCGUGUGUGAAGAAGGCCUUAUGGUUGUAAAGCACUUUAAGCGAGGAGGAGGCUACUCUAGUUAAUACCUAGGGAUAGUGGACGUUACUCGCAGAAUAAGCACCGGCUAACUCUGUGCCAGCCGCCGCGGUAA